CCCAACACCAGCAACUCUGGAGAGAGAAUAGCCGAGUUCCCAUGAGCUGCCCACUCAUGGAGUGGGAUCGAAAACUCCAGAGAGGUUGAGAAGCCUGCUCCGUGAUGGGGGAAGAAACAGGGACGGAAGGUAAGGGAGAGAUGGCAGGGAUGAGAGAGGGUGAGAGAGAAGAGGUGUGAGUGACAGCAAGCGUUAGGGGUGUGGAGUGGUGGUUCCAGGUGGUUCCUGGGAGACCCAUGGUUUCAGAAGCAUUUCAUAAGCACGUGACUGGCGAAGCCCUGGCACUCCUAACAAGGAGUCAUUGGACUUGCCUGGUGGUCCAGUAGUCAAGAAUCCACAUUUUCACUGUGGGUGGCACAGGUUCAAUCCCUGGUUCAGGAACUAAGAUCCCACAUGCUACUCGAUGCGGCCAAAAUACCCGCCCCACCUCAAAAAAAUAAAAACCCCAAACAGAGAGUCAUUUUACACUGGGGUCUUUUCUGCUGUUUCUCUGUCCUCCAUCCUUGCUCAGCCCUGUCCUGUGCUCGAAGAUAAGAUGUCUCAGCUGGCUUCCACUGAGUGCCCCCCCCGCCCGGGGAGUCUGGGGACACUCUUAUAAAGUCAGGGAAGAGAAAAGACAGCUAAGCAAAGAGGGCAAGGGCCAGAGGAAGUGCAGCAACACAGGAGAUGCGGGCGUGUGCCGAGCACCCCACAGGGGUGGCUUGUCUCCUGGGAAUGUCUCUUGUCUCUUUCUCCAUAAAGCUUUGCCCCCAACCCACAGUGGCUUCCUAUAUCCAGGCAGGUCUGCCCACCACCCUGACCGUUCUGGGCAGUGACCUUCAAGUAUGUCUCUGUUUCAAACUUAUGUCACUUACAACUUCGUGCCCCCUGCUCUGUGCAGUGUCUCCACAGUGGACUGAGUCACCCAAACCAGAAUGCAGCCACUACCCUUUGGAAGAAUGGUCCUCAAGGAAGUGUUUCAGCUCUGACUUUUAUCUGGAAAUCAAGAGGCUCUCCAUCGGCUCAUCUGACCCAUCUCUGCACCUCCUGUUUUUCUUUUCCUUUGGCUGCACUGGGUCUUCACUGCGGCACAUCAGCGUUCUUCUGUUGCAGAGAACGGGCUCUAGAGCCCGCAGGCUCAGUAGUCCCACAGCAUGUGGGAUCUCAGCGCCCUGA
rnacentral:lncRNA from 1 species